rnacentral:rRNA from 1 species
UACGUAGGUGGCGAGCGUUGUCCGGAUUUACUGGGCGUAAAGGGAGCGUAGGCGGACUUUUAAGUGAGAUGUGAAAUACUCGGGCUCAACUUGAGUGCUGCAUUUCAAACUGGAAGUCUAGAGUGCAGGAGAGGGGAAUGGAAUUCCUAGUGUAGCGGUGAAAUGCGUAGAGACUAGGAAGAACACCAGUGGCGAAGGCGAUUCUCUGGACUGUAACUGACGCUGAGGCUCGAAAGCGUGGGGAGCAAACAGG